GCCGGGCGGCCUUGCUGGACUUGUUUUACCUUUCUCGAGCACCUUGUGCGAGGGAUUCCUAGGAUGCUUUGGGUUAUCUCGAGGUUGUGGUUAUCCAAUAGGGACCCGAGGAGAUCACGGGUCUCCCUGAUCGAGGUCAUUCCGUCGCAGUGUGUGGUAGCUUAUGAUGGACUAGUUGGAGCACCCCUGCAGGGUUAAAUCUUUCGGAAAGUCGUGCUCGCGGUUAUGUGGCAAUGUGAAACUUUGCUUAACAUCUGGUUCUAGAUAACUUCAAGUAAACGUAACUAAAACUUGCAAACUGAGUGUGUAACCAUGAUUGUCUCUUUCGUGAGCUCCUUCUCCGAUCAAGGACACAGUGGGGUUAUGUAUGAUGUAAGUAGGUGUCCAGGAUCAUUCAUUUGAUCAUCAUUAGUUCAUGUCCGCUAUGCGAAGAUCAUCUCCCUCUUAUUCUUGUACUCGUAAGUUAGCCAUCUCAAACAAAUGCUUAGUCGCUUGAUGCAGCCUCACCACUUAACCAUACCUCACCCAUAAAGCUUUGCUAGUCUUGAUACCUUUGGAAAUGAGAUUGCUGAGUCCCCUAUGGCUCAUAGAUUACUACAACACCAGUUACAGGUACAGGUAAAGGGUUACUUGACGCGAGUGCAUUGAUUGUUCAUUUGGAGUUUCUUCUUCUUCAUCAUCGAUCUAGGAUGGGUUCUAGGCCAGCAGCCUAGGAUAGCAAGGAUGGACGUCAUUAUUUUAUUGUUUGUUUUCAUCUGUAGUCGGACCCUGCUCUUCUUCAUGAUGAUUGUACGUAUUGUACUGAUGUGACUCUGAUGUAGCUUGUGGCGAGUGUAAGCCAACUCCUUAUACUCAUCUUUUCAGUACAUCUACUUGUAAUGAUAUCCAUUCUUGCGAAACGACAAGAUGCGCAUAUAUCCCUGUCGAGGCCCUCCUGCCAAAA
rnacentral:lncRNA from 1 species